CGAACGCUGGCGGCAGGCCUAAUACAUGCAAGUCGAACGGCUCUUCGGAGAAGUGGCGGACGGGUGAGUAACGCGUGGGAAUGUGCCCCUAGGUACGGAACAACCCAGGGAAACUUGUGCUAAUACCGUAUGUGCCCUUCGGGGGAAAGAUUUAUCGCCUUUGGAGCCGCCCGCGUUGGAUUAGGUAGUUGGUGAGGUAAAGGCUCACCAAGCCGACGAGCCAUAGCUGGUCUGAGAGGAUGACCAGCCACACUGGGACUGAGACACGGCCCAGACUCCUGCGGGAGGCAGCAGUAGGGAAUCUUGCGCAAUGGGCGAGAGCCUGACGCAGCCAUGCCGCGUGUAUGAUGAAGGUCCUAGGAUUGUAAAAUACUUUCACCGGGGAAGAUAAUGACGGUACCCGGAGAAGAAGCCCCGGCUAACUUCGUGCCAGCCGCCGCAGUAA
rnacentral:rRNA from 1 species